rnacentral:lncRNA from 10 species
UUACAGUCAACACUCCUUGUGUGGGGUCAGUCCUAGAAAUGGCGACGCUGCUCUCCGAAGAUAGGAAAGAAAAGGACCUCAUUCCAUUGAGCCAUUGACCGAAAUAUUUUCUCAACAAAGUUGAACUGAGCUGAAACUGUGUGAAUCAUGGCAAUACAGUGAAAGACAGUGAUUUACUGCUUUUGAGGGCGUGCAUGUAUAUGAUUAACGGAUGGAAGUGCAGGACUCCAAGAUUUACUUCCUUCCCUUUCCAGCAGAAUUACCUGAGACGAGUAAAAUCUACUGGUGGAGUCACUCCAUUAUUCUUAUCUGUGGAGAUCUAGAUCUUGAUUUGAAAGUUUCUGAGAAAAUCUUCAGCUCAGACUUGAGGGUCAACUUUACCAGCUGAAGGAUCUGCAUUUACUGCUCAACCACAUCUAAUUUGAUGUCCUCUGCAGAUUUAAAAUGUGUGCCUUCUUUUCCGUCACCAAGUCAUCCCUGGGUUACUACUGAACAUCCUUCUCAAUUCCCCCCGACCCAUGGAUGGCUGUUCUCCAUUGUCUGUUUCACCAGAUGUCCUCAAAACAAACAGACAGAAGAAGGAAGUGGCUAAUGGUUCGAUGCCUUCUCCAUCCGUCAGUGAGGGUGUGGAGAGCCUGCAGGCGUGUGCCUCCCUCUGUAACUUGCUAUUCCUUGUGUAAUGUCAAGUGGAAGUGUGAAGCACCACAAACUGCUCUGAGCAGAGCCCACUUCCCUUCACCCACGGAGAGCGUGAAGCAGUUACACCAACAUCAAUCAAGGAAAACCCACAGGCUGAGCUCACACGGUUGAAGCAGCUCUGUAUUCUAAGAACCUGGAAACAAUCUUUAUUCACACUGUUAAGACGAUUGAGAAAAAUGGAUGGAUAGAGUUUAUUUGCUAAGAGAAAAACUGAGUGACUACCUAGCUACCUCACUCCUUUUUGCUCUAUUGGAAGUUGAAGAUUUGUCCAGGAGCAGAUAGCUGAAGAGAGAGAGAGAGAAGAGAGAACGGCUUACAGCUCAGGUCCUCUCUCCAUGCUUAGGAACCACUACAAAUGCUACUGCCUUGAGUCUCAUUUUGUUUCCCUCUGGAAACCACAUGUGUACCUUGUUUGCAACAGUAUGGUUCUGGAGACCAGAAGGCCAAAAUCAAAAGUAUGGGCAGGCUUGAUUUCUUUAGAAGACUCCAGCGGAGAACUGUGUCUCCUUGCUUCUGAUUCUACAUCUCCAUCCAUGGGCCACUGUUUCAGCAACCUCAGCCAGUGCAACACAACCUCAGCCAAGAAGAGUAUGCAGAGAAAGGAGUCCCCUACCUGCCACAAAACUGUUGUCUGAAAACUGUCUCAUAUUGUCUCAAGUUGUCAUUCAUUGUGAAUUAGACCUGUUUAACAUGUAAUCUGCAACAUGCUUCACUGUCUAAUUUUCCAGAGCCCCUCAUAUAAGGAACUGUAUUAUUGGUAUAAUCAUCAUGGUGAAGAAGUUGGUAUGUGGGGGAGAGAUGACAGAAACAGAGAGUAAGUCAGAGCUGGCUGCCUGACAGAUAAAAAGGAAAUGACCAAAAAAAAAAAAAAAGACACAGAAGAAUACUUUGUUGUCCACACAGAAAAGGGAAGUGUAGGUAAGACAGCAGUAGACUAAGAUUCUUAAGACUCAAGUUCUAGUCUUAUUUAUUAGCUAUGGGAGGCCUUGAGGGAGUUCUAGAAUUAAGUGAUCUCUCUUUAUAAAAUAGGAACAGUAAUAACUUCCUGGCUAACUCCCUGGCUGUCUCACAAUGCUGUAGUAGUAAGAAAUAAUUUUAUAAUUAAAGACUAUUUUAGGGCUGAUUACAUUUUUGGGCAGUGGCUCAUACAUGUAAUUUCAACAUUUUGGGAGGCCAAGGUGGGCGGAUUGCUUGAGCCCAGGAAUUCAAGACCAGGCUGGGCAACACAGACCUUGUCACUACAAAAGAAAAAAACAUUAGCUAGGCGUGGUGAUGUAUGCCUGUGGUCCCAGCUACUCAGGAAGCUGAGACAGGAGGAUCACCUGAGCCUGGGAGGUCGAGGCUACAGUGAGCCAUGAUCACACUACUGCACUCCAGCCUGGGAAACAGAGUGAGACUCUGUCUCAAAAAAAAAAAAAAAGGAAUAUUUUACACUUCAAGGUUCUAUACAAAUGUAAAAUAUCAUUCUAUUACUUAUUUAUAAUGCUGAUUAUUCUUUAAAUGACUUUAAAAUGUUAAUCUCUGCUUGAGCCUACGGAGAAGUAUGUAACAAAUUUGUGAAGGAUUGGCAUUAAACAUAGUCAAAAUAAAACAUAGAAAUUAUGGUAAAUAAUUUAACUGGUAAAAUAAUCUAAGUGGUAGUUCUCAGGUAAGUGGAAAUUCGAUUAGCUGAUUGUUUAGGAUUCUUGGUUAUAAGUGACAGAGACCUGACUAAAAGUACAUGAAGCACAUAACUGAGAAGGUUGUGGUAUGGCUCAGCAGAAAUGGGAAAAUCUUGGGACUGGUUCGUGUUUUAUUUACAUUAUCUUUGUUCCCAGGCAGUCUCUGCAUGUAAGUGGCAAAGAUGACUGUCUGAAAAUAUAUACCUACUUUUUUAAAGGGCUAUCUCAAGCCAUUCUGGAGAAGCACCAAAAGCCACUUUGCUUAUACUGGGAGAAUAGUUUGCUUUCCCUAAUUUGUGAUGAGUGAAACACUGAACAGAGACAUAGAAUAAUAUUCUGUAGUUCAGGGUUGGUGUAAUAUGGCCAGUGGGCGGAAUCUGGUCCUCAGACUGAUUUUGCAAAUAAUCUUAUAGAAACACAGCAACACCCAUUCAUUACAUGUUGUUUAUGGUUGCUUUGGGGUUACAAUGGCAGAGUUGAGUAGUUGUGACAGAGAUCACUAGGCUCACCACAUCUGAGAUAUGUACUGACUGACCCUGUACAGAAAGUUUGCUGCUCUUAGAGGAAUGUGUGUUUCUAGUGUCAGCAAUAAACUUCUUGGAUUUGUUUUGUUUUCUCAUCUUUACAUGAUAGUUGCAGACUAGUUGAUCCUUGUGACCUGUUUUUGAAUGCCACUGUGUAUUCUGUCAGGGCCCUCUGAUUCUGUUUCUUAUGGUGCUGAAUGCACAAUUUAAUGCCCUGGAAUUUCCUUCUGUCUUCUGCUAAACUCAUGCCUCUUCAGAUAGUUAAAAUCCUGUUCUACCUUAGAAGUCUCCAGAGUUAUUUUCCUAAAUUAAGAAGAACUGGCUUUGAAGUUACUCAUUAUGCCACACACAAUGGUUGAAAAGAGCAUCUCUUAUGUACUGUGUAUAUUUCAGCAUCCACUCAGCUUCUUAGGUAGAAAAGGAAGAGUCUUCCACAGUGUAUUUUAUCCAUAUUUGGGUCAGAAACUCUUCUUUACCACGGAGCGUGAUGGAAGAAAGAUAUGGGAUGGUAACAGUAGGCCAGGGAUGUAAUAAUCACAAAAUUUGAGAUAUUUUGUGACUGGUGACUCACGCCUGUGAUCCCAGCAUUUUGGGAGGCCAAAGCGGGCGGAUCACCUGAGGUCAGGAGUUCAAGACCAGCUUGGCCAAUGUAGUGAAACCUCAUCUCUACUAAAAAAAUAUAAAAAUUAGCUGGGUGUGGUGGUGCACACCUGUAAUCCUAGCUACUCAGGAGGCUGAGGCAGGAGAAUAGCUUGAACCAAGGAGGUGGAGGUUGCAGUGAGCUGAGAUUGUGCCACCACUGCAUUCCAGUCUGGGUGACAGAGCGAGACUCUGUCUCAAAAAAAAAAAAAAAAAAAAUCUAGAAAAAGAUCUCCAAGAUUCAAUCAUCUAAUUAUUUCUUUUAAAAAUGAGAAAAAUGACUCCUGGUCAGCUUUUACCUUCUUUUUCCAACUGUCUUGACAAUACUUUCAUAUUGGGCUUUUAAAGUCUCAAGUAAUAGGUUUUUAAAACCUCAGCUGAUAAAAGUAUAAAAAUAAAGUUAAAACAUAUUAAAGACAAAACCCAAGAAUCAGCUUCCUCUUCCUUCAUUACUCUUGCAUGGGUGUUGGCUCUAAUUUCUCCAUCUAGUUAGGCAGUCCUUUGCUUUUUAUUGCUUGUUUAUUGAUGACAUUUGCCAUUUGUAGCAAUAGUAAUAGAAUCAUCUAUAUAUUUGUGGCCUUGUUGAAUGUAGAAAAAGGAUAGUGGCAUUUUCUAAUUGUGUAACCCUAUAACACCUUGACGGGGGACUACAGUUCAUAUGCUGGACCUUUUGUGUUUGUUCAUGGCGGGUGGGUUGCUUUAAUAUACUUAGCACAUUGUCCUAAUUGCCAUCCUUUUGGGGAGGGCUAUAUAUCCAAGCUAAUAUGGUAGCAUUUUUGUUUUAACAUAGAGCUGACCCAAGGUAGACGUAAGUGUUGUUCAUUUUUGCCUAAUACUAAUAAAAUUACCUAAUUGUUGAAGCUUGGAGCUUGAAUCUAGGCAUUUUAUUUCAUUUCAAGUACACCCUAGUAUUUUAAAGCAUAAAUAUCCUACUAUCCUCAACAACUUUAGAACAAAAAUAAAUAUUUUAACAAGAAAAAAGCAUGCCAUGACAAGCUGUAACUUAGUAAAGAAAGACAAGGAAUGGUCUCUAUAGACCGAGAAAAAAUAGGUCCUCAGAUAUAUUUAUACCAAAGGAAUGUUAUGAAUGUAAAAAACAGUUUGACUCCCCCCCCCCCGCCAAAAAAAAACUCCACAACCCUAUAUUUUGUUAUCACAAGACUGUUUUAGUGAAUAAAACAGUAUGAAUUGGUUUUACCUGUUUCCAUUUAAUACUUAUUAACUUUAUAAUCGUAUAGCCUGAGGGUUUUAACUUCAAGUACAGCAUGAUGACUAUAAUAGUUUUACACAAGGCAAAUGUGAAAAACAGAAGUAAUUUCUUUUAAAAAGUGUGAAAUAUCUAAAAGGUAUGACUUCAAUACAUCAACUCAGGUGAGACAGACAUGUAACUUCUUUUUCCAUGUUUAAACCUAAUAUUGCUUUUGUGCCUCUGAAGGCUCGGAGUUUCCAUGCCUUCUUAGGACAUGCCACCCUCUCCACACCUGGAUGUGUUCACCAACCCAGAAGCUCUUGGAACCCCAUCAUUUGGGGUUUUUAUGGAGUCCCCAUUAAGUAGGUAUGACUGAUUAAAUCACUGGCCAUUGGUGGUUGACUCAAUCUCCAGCCUCUCUUCCCUCUCUGAAGGUGAAGGGGUGGGAAGGUGAGGCUAAGUUCCAACCCUCGGAUCACAGGGUUGGUUCCUCUGCAACCAGGCUUCAUCGUGAAACAAUACAGGGCCCACCGAGAGUCACCCCAUUAGCAAACUCAGAUGUGAUUGAAAGGGGCUUAUUAUGAAUAUCAAAAGACAUUUCUCUUUCUCCUAUUACUCAGACAGUUACAAGGGUUUCAGAAGCUCUUGCACCAGGAACUGGGAACAAAGACCAAAUAUAUAUGUCUUCUUCUAUUACAAUGUCACAGGUGUGACAGAGUAGGUAAAUGGAGUCUCAGAGAGUCCCCAGAGUAUUCCAUGGAGCCACAAAAUGAAGAAUAAAUGGAUGGUUCUCCCCAUGAUCAAAAGUGGCCUGAAAAUACUUGAGAAUGAGUCAUAACUUAAAAGGCUGUAUAGUAGAAAAGAAUGCACAGAGGACCGAAUGUAAAAGAAGGCACCCCAGUCUCAGCUAGUGUGGAUGCAUGCCAGUGUAGAAAGAUGCUAGUGUGGCUACAUUGGUGCACUGAAGACCAAACUCCUGCAUGGCCCCACAUCCUUGAUACCUUAGAUCUAUAUCAUCCCCUAAAACUUAGGUGUUAUGACAUUCAGGAUAUGCUACCCCAUCAUUUUUUAGGCUGAAGGAAUUUGAGAAAACAGAAGCAGGAAUGUAAUUGCCCAGUGGGUUCUUCCUGCCCUGUGCACAGACAAAACCAGUUCACUGAGACCAUGGUAUUGCAGUUAAGAAAGAGUUUAACAGGAGGCUGGCCACAUGGAAGAAUUACAGUUAUUACAAAUUAGUCUCCCUGAAGGCUCAGAGGUCAGGGUUUUUCAUGGAUAGUUCGGUGAGCAGUGGAUUAGGGGUAAGUGCUGCUGAUUGGUUGGGGAUACAAUCAUAGGGGUGUGGAAAAUGGUCCUUGUGUGCUGAGUCACCUCUGGGUGGGAGGCCAUGGGACCCAUUGAGUCAUGAGUCACGAGGCUGGGUUGGGUCAGUGUGAAAAACAUCUCAAAAGACCAAUCUUAGGUUCAAAAUAGGUGAUAUUACCUGUAGGAGCAAUUGGGAAAGUUAUAAAUUAUAUGACCUCUUGGCCCCAUGACUUCUGAGCAGUAAGAGAUGAUAGAAACUAAACCUACAUUUUAUCAGCACUCAGGCCUCUUCCAUAAUCCUAAUCUUGUGGCCUUUCGUUAGUCUUAUAAAGGUGGUUUGGUAACUGCCCUCAAGCAAGGAGGGGAUCAGUUUUAGGGAGGUGCUAUUAUCAUCCUUGCUUCAAAGUUAAGCUGUAAACUAAAUUCCUCCCAUAAUUAGCUUGGCCUACACCCAGAAAUGAGCAAAGACAGCCAGCCUGUGAUGUUAGAAGCAAGAUGGAGUUAGUCAUGUUAGAUUUCUCUCACUGUCAUAAUCUUUGCAAGGGAGGUUCCAGGAAGGUCAUCCUACCUUUCCCCUCACCCUUCUCAUGUGACACAGGUCAUAAAGCCUAGGAAGGAUUUUCCGACCUUUCCCUGAAGCAGGUCGUAAGACCCUCAUUGGGGAGGUGCCAUUUCUAGACCAAGAGAAAAGGCACAUCCUUAUGUCUGAAGACACAGGGACACAGAGAAGAAUCUGAACAAACAGGUCUUGCUAAGUUCCCCCCAGUUUGUUUUCAUUAGAUCAUGCCCCUUUAUUCAAUGCUGUUUCUCCACAACUAUCCAUUUCUUCAUCAAGCCUAGCAUAAAAAAUACAGGUUUCACGGUUUCUUUGGGUCUUCAUUUCCUUAUAAAGUCUCCUGUACCAUGUAAAACUUAAAUAAGUUUCUCUGCUUUUCUCUUGUUGAUUCUGUCCUUUGUUUUAUAACCCUCAGACAUGAACCUAGUGAUGAGUGAGGGGAAGAUAAUUUAUUUUCCUCUACAGAUGCAAAAGGGAAAAGGGAACAAUCCCUAAACGGAAGUUAUGAUCCAGGGAUCAGAGGCUCAAAAGCAAGAUUAGGUUUAAAUGUAGAAAAAUACAUUCCUCUUUCAUUUUAGAUAUCCCAAAUGCCCAAAUCAACCCAGCUAUUUCUCAGAAGUCUGUUUCCCCUCCACCCUCUGCUCCUCUGUGUAGUGAAACUGUCUCGUUUGGGAGUAAAAUGGCCUGGCUUUCCUUACUGAGUAUACUCUCAAGACUAUUGCCUAUUACUUUUUUCCAUUCCUUCUUGAGAACUACGCUUUUUAAAACAAGAAUUGACUCCAUUUAUCUUUUUCUUUUAGCCUUCUGCUGGGGUAUGCCUUCUCUAAAGCAAUGAAUAAAAAAUGCUUUAGCUGAAUAAAUGGGGCAAGGAUCAAGGAGUACAAGCUAAUAUUUCACAAUAUUAUCCUGCCAUAAAUAAAAGUAUGGUUUAAAUGACAAUGGUGGGGUUAGGAGUUACAGGUCACUGAAACACCACCUUAUUCAUGCUACCAGCCCCUUGGCUUUCCUGAUGGCAGCAGGGAAGCAACACAUAGGUAGAAUUAUGAGCCAACAUCGUGACUGGAGAGGGAUUGAAAAUCUUAUUUGUUGUCUUCCUAGACUAUUACAGUUAUCUGUUGAAAUUAGACUCAAUUCUUUGGCGAAAGUACUCAUUUUUAAGGUCCAUAAUAAAUUGUAACUAUGUAGCCUUUGUUGCAUGAGUUUAGUAUGAGCUGAUUGGUGGGCCACAGUGAAAGGCAGAGGGAAAUGGAUGUUAACUAAGAGGUAGAAGUCCCCUUGAAGUUCUGACCCUGUCACUAAUGAAGUCUUUAUUUCCGUAUUUAGUAAUUGCCUUUUUUUUUUUUUUUUGAGACAGAGUCUUGCUCUGUCGCCAGGAUGGGGUACAGUGGCACAGUAUCUGCUCACUGCAACCUCCGCCUCCCAGGUUCAAGCAGUUCCCCUGCCUCAGCUUCCUGAAUAGCUGGGACUACAGGUGUCUGCCGCCAUGCCUGGCUAAUUUUUGUAUUUUUAGUAGAGACGGGGUUUCACUAUGUUGGCCAGGAUGGUCUCGAUCUCCUGACCUCGUGAUCUGCCCACCUCAGCCUCCCAAAGCUAGGAUUACAGACGUGAGCCACCAUGCCCGGCCAACUGCCUUCUUUAUAUCUCAUUUUAAAAAUUUAUAACAAAGAAGUGGGUUGAUUUUCAAGACCUAGUUGUGUUAGUUUGAAUGAGAUGCAUACAUUUGGCAAGUCUGGGGUCUAAGAAAAGAUAAAGAUCUGAAUGCUGAAAAUCUAGAGAAUUCAGGUUACUGGGGGAUAACUUAAAGUCACUAGGGAAUUCGGGUUACUGGGGGGAUAACUUAAGGUCACUAGGGAAUUCGGGUUACUGGGGGGAUAACUUAAGGUCACUAGAACCCAAAUGCAGGGAAGAGUUGGGUGCUCUUUGGCAAAUAAACAUUCCUGACUUAGCAUUUUUCUUAAACCCGAACGUGCCAGCUGUUUUUUUGUUUUUUUGUUUUUUUGUUUUGUGACCUCAGCCAGGCUUGCGUGUUUAUUCAUCACAUAUUCUAAGCUCAUAUACAACUGUGACCUGAUCCAGCCUUCAAGGAACUCACUCUUGAUUUUAGGAAUCUUUCCACCACUUCGAUUUCAUCUUACUCCUGAAACAGUCAGCCAGAACUGUCUAAUUCAGUCUAUACUUCUGAUACAAAACUCUACCCAGCAACCACUAUGGUUUUGUUGCUUUAGGUACGUGUUAGAAAGCACCCACAUCAAUUUACAGAAAAUCCUUAACUGAAUCUCUAGUCCCAGAGGAGUCAUAUUUUAUUAUAUGGUGCUUUUUAUUUAAAGAGAUCGGUUUAAUAGAAAUUACUCAGGCAUUUGAAGUGAUAGCUUUAAAAUGUGGGACUGGGGAAAAUAAGAACACUUGACCUCUCUCCAUAAAAUUGAAUUGUUCUUUAGGUUUAAAGUUUUGACAGACAAAGAGAAAGUGAGAGCAAGUGAGGGUGAAAAUAUAUCCUUAUUUGGUAAUGAGUACCCAUUAAGAGGACAGUAUAUUACAUUUCAUCUUCUUACUUCACAUUCCUGUUUUAAGGAUUUGUGAGCAAAGUGCUGUGAGACCUCUAGAGUUAAGAGGCUGGAGAUAGGUAGUUUUGAUGGUAUUUUAAGGAGUGCUCCAUAAUGUGUAGUGUCUGAGUGCUGAAGCUUAAUCAGCUUCAAUUAAAUCCAAAACAUACUGAAUAGCUCCUAUGUGUCUGGCAUUGAGCUGUGUGCCAAAGUGGUGGAAAGAUGUAAGAGCCACUGAGGCUUAGAGAUGAAAAGGAUCUUGGAGCCACUGGUUUCCUGCCUGCUGGAGUUUCACCAUCAAGGACCCUUUCGUUAUUUUCCUUCUCCCAUGCAUUUUAUUAAAAUUUUUGGUUUAGUAAACCAAAUUCACUAAUGGGAUGUUAUUUUCAUAUCAAAGAGUAUAAUUCUGCCAAUCAAGGCUUCUGAUCAGCAUAAAAUAAUUAGGUUUCAUACUGAAUGCACAAAUUCUAGUCAAAAGCAAAGCCAUUUGAUGACAUGUCUGCUAUGUUGCCAUUUGCUUUAAGAGAGGUAAAGGUAGCCUGACUUCUGUUCACUCUGUAGUACAGAAUACAUUGUUAACAAGUCAUAGGUAUGUUCUUUUAGGUUUCUAAUUACUGUCAGCCUCUCAUUUCAGACAGGUGAUGUGAUAAGGUGAAAUGAUUACUAUAUUUAGACUCAAAAGUCCUGAGUUUGAGUCCUCGUUUAACGAUCUAGUCCAUGAGCUUCAGUUUUCUCACCUGUUAAAUGGAAAUGAUGAUUAUUUCCUGGAAAUUGCAUUUCCAGGUUGUUUUGAAUGAUAAAUGAUAUGGUGUAUAUAUCAGCUGUUUGCAAACCAGAAAAAGCUAUUCUAUGGUAAACACAUGCAGUGGGCUGAAUUGUGUCUCCCAAAAUUCAUAUGUUGAAGUCCUCACCCCCAGGGCCUCAGAAUGUGACUGUAUUUGGAUCUAGGGUCUUCAAGAGAUAACUAAGUUAGAAUGAGGUCAUUUGGGUUGAUCCUAAUCCAACUGACUGAUAUCCUUAUAAGACGACGAAAUUUGGAUACAGAAAUACACAGAAGACAGGGAGAAGAUGGCCAUCUACAAGCUAAGGAGAGAGGCCUCAGAAGAAACACACCUGCCACACCUUGAAUUUGGACUUCUAGCCAUCAGAACUGUGGGAAAAUAAAUUUCUGUUGUUUAAGCCAGGAGUCCUCAACCCCCGGGCUGUGGACCUGUACCAGUCGGUGGCAUGUUAAGGACUGGGCUCCACAGCAGGAGGUGAGUGGUGGGCGAGUGAGCAUUACUGCCUGAGCUCCACCUCCCGUCAGAUCAGCAGUGGCAUUAGAUUCUCAUAGGAGCACAAACCCUAUUGUAAACUGAGCACGCAAGGGAUCUAGGUUGUGCGCUCCUUACGAGAAUCUAAUGCCUGAUAAUCUGAGAUUGAACAGUUUUAUCCCCAAACCAUCCCCUCCACCACCCCCGUGGUCUGUGGAAAAAUUGUCUUCCACAAAACUGGUCCCUGGUGCCGAAAAGGUUAGGGACCAGCGGCUCAAGCCACCCAGCCUGUGGUACUUUGUUACGGUAGCCCUGGCAAAUGAAUACAACACGUUUUAGACUAUGAUGUUACACAUGCAGUGUGUUGAGAGCCAAAGAACCCAAAUGAUUCGUGGUAUCUGCCCUUGAAGAGUUUUUAAUCUUUUUGGGCAUGAUGAAACAUACACAUGGAAAAUAAAAUAGCAUAUAACCAAGUGCCCAAAUCAGUAAUAAAUACAGUUGACUCCAUAAACAUUUAGGAACCUUCUAUCCCAUGUUUCCACAUUCUAUCCCAGUGGCUUUUGCCACUAAAUUUCUUCACCCACUAUUAGACUGAUGUUUUCAUCUUUCAGUAUCAGACUCAAGCUUUAAUCUAGAAAGAGGGGGUGGGGGGAUAAAUGCUAUACUUUGGAACCAGUCCGGAUAUUUUAAGUAUGUUUUUAAAAAGUAUAAUCCUCACAACAUGAAAGUUAUUAGUUCUAUUUUUCAGGUGAGAAGAGUUAAGGUCAAACAGACGAAAGCUAGUUAGUGGAGGGACUGGUAUUCCAAGCCCAUUCUGGUUAAACUAAAUCUUGUGUUCUUUCCACUAGAAAACUGCUUUUUGUCUUAAUUAUAAUUUUGUGACAAGGAUGUAUAGUCCAUUAAGGAAUAUAUACAACAGAAGAAGCAUUUAAGUGGACUUGAGGUUUGUGAAUCUGAACUAGUUUCUAUCGACUUUCACAUCAGCAGCUCCUAUUCUGGGGAAAGAGAAUGGAGGCUGGGAGUGAUCCUGACAAACCUUGAUGUGCAGGCUUGUGGAGAAACUGGAUUCACACCCAGGCUCGUGGAGUGUGGGAGAGGCUGGCCUGUCACAAUAUCAGGACAGCCUCUCUUAAUAACACUGCAGAAGGAAUCGAGGGCCCUGUGGUUUGCGUUUGUUAGACUUUGGAUGGUGGAGACCUGUGCCUGCUACUUCUCUCAUCUCCUGAUACCUAAUGCAUAGUGUUCAGUAAGUAUUUAUUUGGUGAUAACAAUAUCAAAAACUAGAUAAUGCUUAGAAGAUCCAACACCUUCCAAAAUCUCUGUUAACCAGGUACUGAAAUAUGGUCAACCAGAUGAGCUGAAAUGUCAAGAACUUAUAGACACACAUGGUUUCAUGGUUGUGAAACUAGAAGAUGUGGCAUAUUUUACACAAUGGAGGGAAGAGCAAAGGUUAUGCAUGUGCGGAGGCAGAGCCCCUAGGCAGGUUUCCCUCUUUUCCUUCCUGUGCACUGAUUUUUAUUUUGGUGAACUGAAACAGGGGUCUAACAAACUGGUAUCUCAUUUGUCUUUAUAAACAGAACUGCCAGAUUGGCUUUGCAAUUCAGGGCCCUGUAGGGUGCCCACCUCCUCAGUUUGGGCAGCAGCAUUACAUCUGAGUCUUAGAAUAAAAAUGGAAAGCAAUGGCUCAACCCAUUGGUUUGUCACCAUCCACAUGAAGGAUCUCUAUUGGUAAAAAAACAGACUCCCGUGUUCAAGGCCCUGGGGCUGGAAUCAAAUCCAUCAUUCAUUUAUUUCGGUUUUUUAAGGCUAAAUACAUAGGGAAGAAAAUGAAAUGUGAGAAAGCUGUGCAUUUUCAAUGUCAUCUUGAAAGUGAGUAUCUUUAGACACAUAAAGUAGAUGAGUGGUUAACUUGGGCUGGGAGAGGGAGUGAGGAGUGGUUGUACAUGGCACAAGGUUUCUAUUUAGUGUGAUUGAAAUGUUCUAUAAUUUGAUUGAUGAUUGUACAGUUCUGUAAAUAAACUAAAAUGUAUUGAAUUGUAUAAUUAAAACAUGCAGAUUUUAUAUUUAAAAUAUACUUUGAUAAAAGUGUUUUAAAAAUGAAUAUCUCAUAGGGUAGAAUGAAAUGAAUAAGAGAAACAGUGAGGCAUCCAGGGGACUUUCUGCACAGUGGGUCUGUCAUUAGGCAGGUACGUUGCCACAGCCAGUUCUAAUGCCCACUCAUAGGCCAAUGCCUAGGACAAUUGCUCAGAUAUCGCCUCUGACAGGCAAGUGUUCCAUCAGUAACAGCAGGCAUCGGAAGAUGAUGCCAUUCCCUGCUGUUAGUAUGAUUAUAUUGACUUAGGUUUUUAAUUUUCUUUCUUGCUGUGUUUUUUUUUUUUCACCUUCUUAGCCUCUAAAGCAUGAACAUCUGUGUUUUUCAG